rnacentral:rRNA from 1 species
GAUGAACGCUAGCUACAGGCUUAACACAUGCAAGUCGAGGGGAAACGCCAUCGAAAGCUUGCUUUUGAUGGGCGUCGACCGGCGCACGGGUGAGUAACGCGUAUCCAACCUGCCCAUCACUUGGGAAUAACCUUGCGAAAGUAAGACUAAUACCCAAUGACAUCCCACGAAGACAUCUGAAUGGGAUUAAAGAUUUAUCGGUGAUGGAUGGGGAUGCGUCUGAUUAGCUUGUUGGCGGGGUAACGGCCCACCAAGGCAACGAUCAGUAGGGGUUCUGAGAGGAAGGUCCCCCACAUUGGAACUGAGACACGGUCCAAACUCCUACGGGAGGCAGCAGUGAGGAAUAUUGGUCAAUGGGCGAGAGCCUGAACCAGCCAAGUAGCGUGCAGGAUGACGGCCCUAGGGGUUGUAAACUGCUUUUAUAAGGGAAUAAAGUGGGUCUCGUGAGACUUUUUGCAUGUACCUUAUGAAUAAGGACCGGCUAAUUCCGUG